CCGGCGGCUGGGGCAGCUCGGCGGUCGUCUCGGCCUCGGAGGGCGUGUGACGAGCGUUCCGGGCGUCCCGGCCGGA
rnacentral:tRNA from 1 species